rnacentral:piRNA from 1 species
UGGCUUGAAUUUGUGCAGGUCUUGUGUAU